CCAUAUGUGACAGGCACAUCUGGUUACCUACUCUAAUGGGUGCAGAAAUGGAUCUAACAGGAAGGGGAAGCCAUAUAAUACUCCCCAAGAAUGUUUAAAAGAGGAUUCUUCAGCAUUUCAUGGAAAACAGGAGUCUUAAGGGAACAUCCUAGAGAGCUGAGU
rnacentral:lncRNA from 1 species